ACCACCAAGACGACGAUGCGUAGGGGUUCUGAGAGGAAGGUCCCCCACACUGGUACUGAGACACGGACCAGACUCCUACGGGAGGCAGCAGUGAGGAAUAUUGGUCAAUGGGCGGGAGCCUGAACCAGCCAAGUCGCGUGAGGGAUGACGGCCCUAUGGGUUGUAAACCUCUUUUGCCGGGGAGCAAAGUGCCGCACGUGUGCGGUUUGGAGAGUACCCGGAGAAAAAGCAUCGGCUAACUCCGUGCCAGCAGCCGCGGUAAUACGGAGGAUGCGAGCGUUAUCCGGAUUUAUUGGGUUUAAAGGGUGCGUAGGCGGACGCUUAAGUCAGCGGUAAAAUUGCGGGGCUCAACCUCGUCGAGCCGUUGAAACUGGGUGCCUUGAGUGGGCGAGAAGUACGCGGAAUGCGUGGUGUAGCGGUGAAAUGCAUAGAUAUCACGCAGAACUCCGAUUGCGAAGGCAGCGUACCGGCGCCCAACUGACGCUGAAGCACGAAGGCGUGGGUAUCGAACAGGAUUAGAUACCCUGGUAGUCCACGCAGUAAACGAUGAAUGCUAGUUGUCCGGGGCGAUUGAGUUCUGG
rnacentral:rRNA from 1 species